rnacentral:rRNA from 1 species
UUAUCGGAGAGUUUGAUCCUGGCUCAGGACGAACGCUGGCGGCGUGCCUAAUACAUGCAAGUCGAGCGGACAGAUGGGAGCUUGCUCCCUG